UACAGAGGGGGCAAGCGUUGUUCGGAAUUACUGGGCGUAAAGGGCGCGUAGGCGGCCUUCUAAGUCGAACGUGAAAUCCCUGGGCUCAACCCAGGAACUGCGUCCGAUACUGGAAGGCUUGAAUCCGGGAGAGGGAUGCGGAAUUCCAGGUGUAGCGGUGAAAUGCGUAGAUAUUAGGAAGAACACCAGUGGCGAAGGCGGCUCACUGGCCCGGUACUGACGCUGAGGCGCGAAAGCGUGGGGAGCAAACAGG
rnacentral:rRNA from 1 species